AGAAGAGCGCAGGGGCUGAAGCCGUGCUGCCAGCGUGGGGCUGGGGAAGGCAGUCCCUGGGGCUUGGCUGGCCUUGGGGCACUGAGGCAGCUGCUGCCAGCUCUCCUGCCUCCUGCUGCAGCUGCCCGAGUGCUUUGGCACAGGCCUUUGGCCCCUGGGCCCUGUGGCAGCAGGAUGGUGUUUCACACACUUGUGUUCCACAAGUAGAUGGCCAUAAGGAUGUGGAGCCUGCAUGAAAGGCUCAUGGAGCUCCUGCAGGAAAAUGACAGUGUCAUGCUCAGGAUGACCACGGUUCUCCUCAGGGGUUUAUUUCUCUGCAAUGGUGCCCCAAUAACCAGCGCCCUCGCCCUGCAGCUGGCUGAGGCGCUCCUGCCACUCUUUGACAACGAGGAUAGCCAGGUGAAGUUGUGCUCCAUGUUUGUCUUCCGAGAGAUGCUGGAUUUUUUUCCAGAAGAGGAUAAAAAGGCCCUGAAGACACACGUGCACCAGAGCCUGCUGCCACUCUCCUUCCACUGCCAUGAUGAGAACCAGCGAGUGGCAGAGGCUUCUCAGGAAACGCUGCUUUGUGCGGCCAAGUUCCUGAAGAGGAGGGAUCUUGAAAAGCUGGUGAAGAACCAGGAGCUGUGGAAGUUCACCGAGUGCCUGCUGGCAGAGGACAGCAGCAGCGUGGCCGAGCACCUGCGCCGGGCCCUGCCCUACCUGCAGAGCCCACAGGAGCCCCUGCGAGAGGCGCCGUCAGGUUCAUGGGGAUGGCCGGGAGGAGCUUGAGGGGACAGCAGGAAAAGCUCCAGCUGAUCCUCAAUGGUGAGACAGGGCAGCGGGCUGACAGCGGGGGCUGCCGGGGCGAGCUGCAAGCCCUGCCCCGGCUGUGGAGAGCUCUGCUCUCCUAGGUAGAGCACACAGAGAUUUCAGGGACACGUGGGGGAUGCGUGGCCAGCAGCUUCGGGCUGAUCCCCUUGGUCCCUGAUCCCUCCCGGCCAUGGCAAGAGCCGGCUGGGAUGGCCCUGGCAGGGGGGGCUCCCCUCGGCUCCCCGCAGAGUCGGGAUCUGACCGUGGCUCUGUUCCUCUCUCUUGCAGCCCUUGAAUGCCUGACAGAGGAUGUCAGUAGUGCCAUGUCAGAGCUGGCACUUCAAACAUUGCAUGUGCUCCGGGCAAUACAGAGUGGGCAAUACUCCAUCUUCCAGAAGCCCUUCAAGCCAUGAGCGAAGAUGACAGCCCAUCCUCCACUAACCUGGAAAUUCAGGCAGUUUUUGGACAAAGAUGUGCAGAACUAAGGUCAUCUGCUGGAUUCAGAGAACCAGGCUCCCAAGCAGAGUACCAGGAGACAGUGAAGAGAGCAGCAGGACUCAAUGUCACUGGAGCUCCAGGCACACCUGAUGCUGGCCACAGCUGUGCCUGCUGCAAGCUCCCAUAGCUGCUGCCUUCCCCCUCCCUGUUGACAGCUCCCUCCCUCCAGCCCUCAAACGCUGCCCAUUCCCUUUUUUUGGCCCCCAUCUCAUCCCUUCCCUUUCCCUUCCAUUAAUAAACAGUUUGGUUUCUCCCCCUUA